CUUCGCCACCUCUCGCGAGAACAGAGGUCGCUAUGGCAACGGCCGCCUUUCCCCCCCGGCCCGGAAGUACCGGCCCCGCGUCAGGCGCGAGGGAGGCCUUCCCAGCGCGAGAAGCCGUGACUCAGCAGAGUUGGGGAGGGAGGGGCCGGUGGCGUCAUGAUGGCGUCACCUCUCCGCCCCCUUGUCGCGGCGUGAGGGGCCUAGCGCGACACGGGGCCCUGGGUGAAGGCCCGCACCGCGGGGCGGCGGGAGGCGACGGCCCGCUCGUGUGGAGCCGCGGCGGCGAAGUAAUGCGGCCUUUGUGCUGCUGCGGGCAGGACGUUUGUCAGUCCUUUGCUACACCACCAAGAAGAAAACCUUUUGGCCUGUCACAGAGAUGUGUAUGUAUUCUCUCACUGCUUAGUCAGAAACUUCAAGUUGUGUUGAAAUCCCCUGCCUUGCAAGAAGCAACAUGCCUCCGGCGCAUGCGGAAGCAGAAUUCAGGCUUGAAUCUUCACAUGUUUUCCCUCCCAACAUCACUGUUACCGUUUACUGCCACGUACAGCCUGGCUGCCGGCUCUGCUCCUCCCUUCAUUCUCGCUGCGACCUUCCCCAAACCACCCGAUCUCUACAGCUCGUUUGCCCUUUCUGUGAAACAAGGACAAUAUAUUCCACUGGAAAACAUUCUGGAAGUAAAAAAUGAAAUAUUUUGGAACCGCUAAGGCA